AGUGAACGCUGGCGGCAGGCCUAAUACAUGCAAGUCGAACGGCAGCACAGUGGAGCUUGCUCCAUGGGUGGCGAGUGGCGGACGGGUGAGGAAUACAUGGGAAUCUGCCCAGUCGUGGGGGAUAACGUAGGGAAACUUACGCUAAUACCGCAUGCGCCCUUCGGGGAAAGCCGGGGACCGUAAGGCCUGGCGCGAUUGGAUGAGCCCAUGUCGGAUUAGCUAGUUGGCGGGGUAACGGCCCACCAAGGCGACGAUCCGUAGCUGGUCUGAGAGGAUGAUCAGCCACACUGGAACUGAGACACGGUCCAGACUCCUACGGGAGGCAGCAGUAGGGAAUAUUGGACAAUGGGCGCAAGCCUGAUCCAGCCAUGCCGCGUGAGUGAAGAAGGCCCUCGGGUUGUAAAGCUCUUUUGUCCGGAAAGAAAAGCACUGGGUUAAUACCCCGGUGUCCUGACGGUACCGGAAGAAUAAGCACCGGCUAACUU
rnacentral:rRNA from 1 species